GUCAGCAUUUCCAUUUCCAACACAGUUUCUGAGAUGUAAUUCAAGAGGUAACUUAUCAUUGCAUUUGAACUAUUAUAUCAGUUGGUGUUAUUCUGUGCGAUAAGCGAAUAUUAUUGGAAAGAGGGCUGCCAUAUACCUUGAAAUCACCAAAUAAACAGCUUUUGCACAGAUUUCUCCACGUCGUCGUACGUUUACAGAGCAAAUUUUACACCUUGGCACUGGUCUUUGUUUUUGAUAUGAACAUUUAUUCCCCUAGUCUAAAGUUAUUUAAGAUUGGUCCUGUCGUAAGUCUUCAGUCUACUAGCAACCAGUCGACAAUAUUUCACUUUAGUGUUGUCUUUGCCGUUACGUUGGCUUCGCAUAAAUACAAGAAACUCCUCCAAGUAUCAUGUACCUUCAUGUAGGACAAAUAUCAGACAAUUUUCGGUGCGCUUUCAAGGUCCAAAAUUUUUC